ACAGCCAUAUCACGUUGAAACAUAGGUUCCCGUAGGAUCACCGAAGUUAAGCAACAUCGGGCUUGGUUUGUAGCGAAAUGGGUGACAGCAUAGGAAUAUCUCUUGCAGUC